CAAUCUAAAAAAUCUCACUUUGCUCACCUAAUCUCAGCUAGACAUCUAGUUCUUCAUUGACAUUCAAGCUUGACAAGGAUUUAAUUUGCAGAGAGUUCAGGUGGCUAAUAUCAGUGACUGGCCUAGUUGAUUUGCCGUGAGUUAUAUAAGAUGUUUUGUACAUCAAGGGUUGGUUGUCUAUUGGGGACCACCUCAAUGCAAUCAGGUCUCAACAUGGAAAAUGUAGUGGUGGUAGGGUUACCACUACUAUAUAUCUAAGUUAAU
rnacentral:lncRNA from 1 species